CUUAGUUAAUAUGGAAUAUUAUUAUCACGUGCCACAAGUAGAAUGAUAUCCGGUCGUGUUCUGUAACACGAAACCCGGAAGUACUAUUGCCCUUCAGCUCCCGCCCGGGGAGCUAUCGGGCACUCACCUGCCCGGUCAGCAGCCUGUGCUGACCACACCAUUCUCCACCUAGACCCAAGGGGAACUUGUCCAUCCCAUUGCUGGGACAAGAAGAACUCAAGUUCUCCUCUGAGUUGCAGAUUAUAUAGAGGCAGCAGGCGGAGCACAACAAUUAUCAUUAAAGAAGGGGGAGCUUCUUGUCCAAACUAGAAGGAACAUUCCACUUGUAAGUACUGCCACUAUACAAGAGGAAAAUUUGGGUUGAUGACCUCUCUGGAAAUG